ACCGCGGUAGCCCAGUUGGUUAGGGCGUCGGCAGUCGGCAGUACUGAUGUCGAAGGUCGCAGGUUCAAAUCCUGCCUGCGGUG